ACCUAGACUGACCUAGUCGUCAUUUCGCGAAUGGGGAUACGGAAGCCGGUGUGAGUCCGGCGCGGCCCCGCCACUGUAACGGGCAGUUUGUGAGCGGCUCAAUGCCACUGGGGUAACCCGGGAAGGCGAGCCGGUUCGCCCGGAGCCAGGAGACGUCUUCAUUCGCGCCAC
rnacentral:ncRNA from 2 species